GAUGAACGCUGGCGGCGUGCCUCAAACAUGCAAGUCGAGCGGGGCUAUGUAAUACCGCAAGGUAGAACAUAGCCUAGCGGCGAACGGGUGAGUAACACGUGGGUAACCUGCCUGGAAGACAGGGAUAACGAUUCGAAAGGGUCGCUAAUACCUGAUAAUAUCCUUUCAUCGCAUGGUGAUAGGAAGAAAGGGGAAACCCGCUUUCAGAUGGGCCCGCGUCCCAUCAGCUAGUUGGUAAGGUAAAGGCUUACCAAGGCGACGACGGGUAGCCGGUCUGAGAGGAUGUACGGCCACACUGGGACUGAGAUACGGCCCAGACUCCUACGGGAGGCAGCAGUUGGGAAUCUUAGGCAAUGGACGAAAGUCUGACCUAGCGACGCCGCGUGAGGGAAGAAGGCCUUCGGGUUGUAAACCUCUGUCAUGGGGGAAGAAGUAAGUGACGGUACCCAACGAGGAAGCCCUGCUAACUACGUG
rnacentral:rRNA from 1 species